rnacentral:piRNA from 1 species
UCAAACCUAUUUGAUUCUCUGUACCUGCC